GACGAACGCUGGCGGCGUGCCUAAUACAUGCAAGUAGAACGCUGAAGGAGGAGCUUGCUUCUCCGGAUGAGUUGCGAACGGGUGAGUAACGCGUAGGUAACCUGCCUGGUAGCGGGGGAUAACUAUUGGAAACGAUAGCUAAUACCGCAUAAGAGUAGAUGUUGCAUGACAUUUGCUUAAAAGGUGCAAUUUCAUCACUACCAGAUGGACCUGCGUUGUAUUAGCUAGUUGGUGAGGUAACGGCUCACCAAGGCGACGAUACAUAGCCGACCUGAGAGGGUGAUCGGCCAAACUGGGACUGAGACACGGCCCAGAAUCCUACGGGAGGCAGCAGGAGGGAAUCUUCGGAAAUGGACGGAAGUCUGACCGAGAAACGCCGCGGGAGUGAAGAAGGGUUUCGGAUCGUAAAGCUCUGUUGUAAGAGAAGAACGAGUGUGAGAGUGGAAAGUUCACACUGUGACGGUAUCUUACCAGAAAGGGACGGCUAACUACGUG
rnacentral:rRNA from 1 species